AGUGAACGCUGGCGGUAGGCCUAACACAUGCAAGUCGAACGGCAGCACAGUAAGAGCUUGCUCUUACGGGUGGCGAGUGGCGGACGGGUGAGGAAUACAUCGGAAUCUACUUUUUCGUGGGGGAUAACGUAGGGAAACUUACGCUAAUACCGCAUACGACCUACGGGUGAAAGCAGGGGAUCUUCGGACCUUGCGCGAUUGAAUGAGCCGAUGUCGGAUUAGCUAGUUGGCGGGGUAAAGGCCCACCAAGGCGACGAUCCGUAGCUGGUCUGAGAGGAUGAUCAGCCACACUGGAACUGAGACACGGUCCAGACUCCUACGGGAGGCAGCAGUGGGGAAUAUUGGACAAUGGGCGCAAGCCUGAUCCAGCAAUACCGCGUGGGUGAAGAAGGCCUUCGGGUUGUAAAGCCCUUUUGUUGGGAAAGAAAAGCAGCAGGUUAAUACCCAGCUGUUCUGACGGUACCCAAAGAAUAAGCACCGGCUAACUUCGUG
rnacentral:rRNA from 1 species